rnacentral:rRNA from 1 species
AUACGAAGGGUGCAAGCGUUGUUCGGAUUUACUGGGCGUAAAGCGUCCGUAGGUGGUUUGUUAAGUCAGGGGUGAAAUCCCAGGGCCCAACCCUGGAACUGCCUUUGAUACUGGCAAGCUGGAGCGCGAUAGAGGAAGAUGGCAUAUCUGGUGUAGGGGUGAAAUCCGUAGAUAUCAGAUAGAACACCAAUGGCGAAGGCAGUCUUCUGGAUCGUCGCUGACACUGAGGGACGAAAGCGUGGGUAGCAAACAGAAUUAGAUACUCUGGUAGUCCACGCCCUAAACGAUGCAUGCUUGUUGUUGGUUUCCUUCGGGGGAUCAGUGACGGAGUUAACACGUUAAGCAUGCCGCCUGGGGACUACGAUCGCAAGAUUAAAACUUAAAGGAAUUGGCGGGG